GACGAACGCUGGCGGCGUGCUUAACACAUGCAAGUCGAACGAUGAACCCAGAGCCUGCUCCGGUGGAUUAGUGGCGAACGGGUGAGUAACACGUGAGUAACCUGCCCUUGACUCUGGGAUAACUGCGGGAAACUGUAGCUAAUACCGGAUACGACCCUCGGCGGCAUCGCCAGGGGGUGGAAAGAAUUUCGGUCAAGGAUGGACUCGCGGCCUAUCAGCUAGUUGGUGAGGUAACGGCUCACCAAGGCGACGCCGGGUAGCCGGCCUGAGAGGGUGACCGGCCACACUGGGACUGAGACACGGCCCAGACUCCUACGGGAGGCAGCAGUGGGGAAUAUUGCACAAUGGGCGCAAGCCUGAUGCAGCAACGCCGCGUGAGGGAUGACGGCCUUCGGGUUGUAAACCUCUUUUAGUAGGGAAGGAGCGAAAGUGACGGUACCUGCAGAAAAAGCACCGGCUAACUACGUGCCAGCCGCCGCCGUAA
rnacentral:rRNA from 1 species